UACGUAGGGGGCAAGCGUUAUCCGGAUUUACUGGGUGUAAAGGGAGCGUAGACGGCAAUGCAAGUCUGGAGUGAAAGGCGGGGGCCCAACCCCCGGACUGCUCUGGAAACUGUAUAGCUGGAGUGCAGGAGAGGUAAGUGGAAUUCCUAGUGUAGCGGUGAAAUGCGUAGAUAUUAGGAGGAGCACCAGUGGCGAAGGCGGCUUACUGGACUGUAACUGACGUUGAGGCUCGAAAGCGUGGGGAGCAAACAGG
rnacentral:rRNA from 1 species